CAAUGGAGUUCUUUUAAUGACCUACAUCUUUCCAUAAGCCUAUAAAGAACACUUUAAUCAAAUUAUUUUUGUUUCUAGAAAUUGUUCCUUCUGAGAUUUGCUUUUGUCAUUAUUAUAGAUUCCUACUAAUGCAAGCUAAAUUAUUUGAAGGUCACAAUCUUUAACGGCAGUUUUUUAAAAAUGUUCCGAUAAAAUUGAUUUUAAAAGUGCCACUCUAACCUGGUAGGUUGCAUUUUCACAUCCAACUUCUCACCCCAUUUACACAUACACACACACACACAUCUUUGAGAAUGGGCCUAGAGUCUUCAUAAUGUUCUACAAACAUUAUAUGGUUUAUGUUUAAUUUUUUUCUCUUAAAAAUUCCUUCCAGUGGUAAUAUAAAUACAAAUUUACCAAUGUAUGGGAGAAUUGUUUCCCUCUGAUUUACCUUUAAAUGGCAAUGUCCAUGACCACUGCUCACCUGGCUAAAUCAAAUCUGUUGGUUGAAACUAUGUACAUUUUAUUUUCCUGAAGAGAAUGUUAAUAUUCCUCACUUCCUUCAGUGGAUAUUUCAUUAAGAGAGGAGAGAAGAUAUGCUGGAGACUCAAAAAUAACAUUAAUUAUAAAUAAUUAAGUCUCUGAUAAGUUAUUUUGCUCAUAUUUUUUUGAAGCAAAGAAUACUUAUUAGGAACCCUUAACAAUGUGAAUACUCAAAACUGCAGUGUAAAACCUGUGUAUAUCAUUCACACCACAUUUGGAAAAAUCCAUACUUUAAAAAAUUCUCAAAAUAUUUAAUUGUUAAAGAAAGAAGUAAUUUGAUAAAUAUAUGUCAAUACUAUUGCUUUGUACUGGCCUAAAAUAUGCUUCAUUGUGGUUUGAUCUAUUUUUCUUUUUUAAUUUUUUUUGGUCUUUUUGUCUUUUCUAGAGCUGCUCCUGCGGCAUAUGGAGGUUCCCAGGCUAGGAGUCCAAUUGGAGCUGUAGCCACCAGCCUACGCCAGAGCCACAGCAACAUGGGAUCCGAGCCGAGUCUGCGACCUACACCACAGCUCAUGGCAACACCGGAUCCUUAACCCACUGGGUAAGGUCAGGGAUCGAACCUGCAACCUCAUGGCUUCUAGUCAGAUUUGUCAACCACUGCACCGUGACAGGAACUCCCGGUUUGAUCUGCUUUUAUGCCAUGGCCACCACCAAUCUAAACACUACCUUUAUGGAAAUUGAUAAAUGAGCCACUACCAUGUAGAGACACAGUGCCUUGGAGACAAGACUUCAUAAGCUGAGUACUAGCUGGAAAUUAAUCCCCAUUUGCCUUCUUAGCUAGAGGCCCUUAUGCAGGGCACAACCUGUGCAACUGCACAUGAGAGCCCUGUCCUUUGGAUACAGAUCCUCUUCCACAUGACAGUCCAUGCUAAGUAUCACAGUCAUGGUGCCUUUCAUGUCUGACUUCCCUCUUUCCAUUGACCUCCUACUCUGUGAGCCUCAACACAGAGCUGGCUAUAGAUUAAACAAGGAAGUAAGGACCUGAUCCAAACACAUCUCAUCUAGAGGCUGGCUGGCAACUCUAGAAAGUAACCAGAGAUGCAGUACUGUGUCUCAAAUCAGCAGUAAUUAUUACCUAAACUAAUCAGACCAGCUCCCUCAAAAGCAGUGGAAAUUACUGGCAGGAACAAAUGUCCACAGAGGUGCAGAGAUAAACCAUCCCUGCACAAUUCUUGAGGGAGAAGCCAGGCUUCCGAGGGCUAAUGAUUUUCUAACUGAAGUCCCUAAAUAGCAACUCCCAUUUGUCUUAAAGCUAUCUGAGUUUAGCGCCAGCCAAAAAAGCCCACCAAGUGCACAGUCCUUCUCACUCUUGAAGAUAGCUAUCAUCUGCUUCAGGAGUCAUACAUUCUUUACAUUCAAAGUUUUUUGUGUCUUCAAUCCCUAAUUGUACAUCAAGAUUUUACUGUUUCUUCAUCAUUUUGCCUAUUUGACUCUGAACACUUCUUAGAGUUCCUAUUAAAGAGGGUACUAAUGAUAGAACGCUAUGCUCUAUGUAAAAUGAAACCAAAUCAUAGUAGAACAAAGCCAUCACCUCCUUCAAUAACUCUAAGUUAUGCUAAUGCAGCAAAGAAUUUAAGUAUAGAAGAAUGCGCAUUCAAGCUAUAAUUAUAAACAAUUGUGCUGUCUUUGGUGAUUCACAAGGUCUUAGAAGUUCUCCAAAUAUCCUAGGGGCAACAUAGGAACAAUUAUCUUUUUUCAUCUCUGAAUAGGUAGCAAAUUUUGGUUUAACCACAUCACUAUAUACUGCAGAAAUAUUAGGAUGUCAUUUAGCUUCAUAUUUCUUUGUUAUUUAUCUCAAUCAUUAUUAGUGGACUUCAAGGAAAAUAAAAACAUGGUUGUAGAAUUCCCUUUGUGGCACAGUGGAAACGAAUCCAAUUGUGCAAGUUCGAUCCCUGGCCUCACUUAGUGGGUUAAGGAUCCGGCGUUGCGGUAAGCUGUGUUGUAGAUUGCAGAUGAGGAUCAGAUCUGGCGUUGCUGUGGCUGUGGUAUAGGCCGGCGGCCGUAGCUCCGAUUAGACCCCUAGCCUGGGAACCUCCACAUGCCGCAAUUGCGACCCUAAAAAAGACAGAAGAGAAAAAAAAAGAAAAAAAAAAACAUGGGUGAGACUCUGUUUUUUUGCGUUGAAUAAUUUAAUUAACAUAUUUGGCUGAGCCCUGUAUACUCAAAACUAUGGCAUGUAAUGUAAAAGUUGAGAAAGAAUCAAAUAUGAGGUCCUUGCACGCAUGCGAUAACCCAUCUGGUGUAGAGAGAUACUAUCUAUCACUCAUGAGAUGAGUUGCAGAAGCAUUACAGAACAGCCUUAGCAAAGAGCCCUCUAUGCUGAGUGAUUCAGGUUUCCCAAGCAGAGAGUGGGGAAGAGUCGUGCAAAACUCCUUUAAGUUACAUUCACUCAAUUAUUCAAACUGCCAUUUUUUUCUCAUGAUGUGAAUACAGUUUGACUAUUUCAAUAAAAGUUGUGGAGAAUAAUAAGGACUUUUUGUACAAAAUGCCAGACGAAGCACAGGAAAUGAGCUUCUAUUCCAUAUUAUUCUCAUUUUGACUAUGAUUCACUCACAUCUUCUAUAGGACAUAUGCCUGACAGAUCUUUAGGCUUGAAAAGCAAAAUGAGACCAGUACCUGGGGAUUGUGCUUUUCAAGCUUACACAGCAGGAUGUGAAGAAAAGAGGUCAGGAUUUGUGCUAAAGGAACUGCAAAGAAUUACAUAUUUGUCAGAAAAUGAGACACAGUUACAUUUAAGGAAAAGUUGACCUAAAAUUGCUGACCAUUUUAUUGUCUGAUAGUGGAGCUUUUGCUUCAGUCUAAGCACUCAGACUUUUAUUCUUAUCACAGAUAUCCAAAAGCUCUUCUUUUUUUUGAACAAAUUGGCUAUUCAUGUGGAUGGCAUUUUCUUAAUCAGUCUCUUGAUGCCAUGCCUGUGUAACUGGUCUUCCCACCUCUGUUUUCUUCCAUCUGAAAUCUACCCUUCAUUCCAAUCCUGACGAGAUCUAUCAUUAAUAUAACUUUAAAAGGUGAUUUUCAAAGUUUUAAAACUAAAACUCCUAAUAAGAAAAAAAUUUUGCAUUAUGACAAAAUAUACAGGAGAUCGCUUACACACAAAUUAAUAAAAUUUUACAAAAAAGCACCCUUAUCUCCCAUGUAUUCAUAUUUUCCUUUCCCUUUCAUUCUGUUUCAUUUUAGUGGAAUUAACUAAAAUACUUAACUAGUGAUUUGAGUCACUAAAUCAAUAUCAUGAUCCUUCAAAGUGUGGUUCCUAAAAUGUGGUCCAGGGACCUCUUGGUAUACCUAUGACAAUUUAAGGAGAUCAACUAUGUUGACAUUAUUUUAGGAGUUCCUGUUGUGGAUCAGCAGGUUAAGCGCCCAACAUAGGGUCCGUGAAGAUGUGGGUUCAAUCCCUGACCUUGCUCAGUGGUUUAAGGAUCUGGCAUUGCCACAAGGUUUGGCAUACGUCAUAGAUGCAGUUCAGAUGCGGUGUUGCUGUGGCUGUGGCAUAGCCCUGCAGUGGAAGCUCCAAUUGAAACUCUGGCCUGGGAACUUCCAAAUGCCAUGGGUGCACCAUAAAAAGGAAAAAAAUAAAAUAAAAUAAAAAUAAUACUAAAAAAAUUAAAAACACUAAAAAAUAAAAAAUAAAAUAAAAAAUAAAAUACUAAAAUAUCACUUCCCUUAUUCACUUCUCAUUCUCUGAUGACUGUAUAGAAUUUUCCAGAAGUUACAUGAUAUGGUAAUGCCAUUACCCUGACAGCUAAUGGAAGGGAGGCUUAUACAGUCUUAUUUAUUUUUUUUUUUAAUUUAUUUAUUUUUUGUCUUUUGUCUUUUCUUGUUGUUAUUUCUUGGGCCGCUCCCGCGGCAUAUGGAGCAGCCCAAAAAAAUAGCAAAAAGACAAAAAAAAAAAAAGAACAAGAUGGGCUUAAGCCAGAUUAAAUUUGGUGUGUAUGUAUGUAUGUACAUUUGUAUUACAUACAUAUUUAUUUUUCACGUAUUUAAUUAGUGUCAAAGGUAGCAGUGAUGGUAGAAAGGAACCCUGGAAUAAAAAGCAGAAAACUUGAGUUCACAUCCCAGAUAUGCAUUUACCUGUCUUCAGGCUUUCAUCAAAUCAACAGCCUCAGGAUUCUAGAGCUAGAAAAUCAAAACCUCAGAAAUC
rnacentral:lncRNA from 1 species